rnacentral:rRNA from 1 species
UACGAGUGCCCCGAGCGUUAUCCGGAAUCAUUGGGCGUAGAGAGCGUGUAGGCGGUCCGGUAAGUCGGUUGUGAAAGUCCAGGGCUCAACCCUGGGAUGCCGAUCGAUACUGUCGGACUAGAGUUCGGAAGAGGCGAGUGGAAUUCCCGGUGUAGCGGUGAAAUGCGCAGAUAUCGGGAGGAACACCAAUGGCGAAGGCAGCUCGCUGGGACGUUACUGACGCUGAGACGCGAAAGCGUGGGGAGCAAACAGG